UCCCUUCUUUGUGCAUGAAAAAUAUAAUCAUUUAUAACUCACAUAACAUAAAAAGACAUGAUACAAUUGCAAAUUGUAAAUGAUACAUAAACAUGUUUAAACCGAUUCUUUCAAAACUAAAUAUCGGUACAAUUUUGAAUGUAUCGAUAAUUGUUAGAAAAGUAUCGAUGUAUUGUGGCA